rnacentral:lncRNA from 1 species
GGAUUCCUCCUGGAAGAUCCCGCGAGCCCGGGAAGGGAAUCUCCGCUCCUGAUUGUCCAAACGCAAUUCUUGUGCGAUGGAGCCGUACGAACCAAGAAUUGUGUCUGGACAUCUGUAGCAGAGAUUUCAACUCCACCGGCGGGGCUCCAGGAAGGUGCUUUGGGGCGGAGGAAGAAGGACGGACCUUCCCCGGGCUCGGGGCACCGCAAGCCAGCUCCAUCACCUGGAAUCCCCUCUCCGCUCCCCUGGCCCAGCAAAGCUUAUGGCUGCAGACUCAGGACAGAGAAGAGCCUUUGGCCCGUCCGUGUCAUUUACAAACGGCGCAAGCUGGACUCGAGUCGCUGUGGCUGGAUUUGGAAAAGGCUGAAUAUCGCUCCUCCUCGGCAGCUCCCGGAGAUCAAGGACAGGGCAAGCAGUACGUGGUGCAGAUCAGCUCUCAGAUGUGCACCCAUUGAGCUUACGGCACCGGCGAGCCCUCCGCCUCAGGAGAGCCGUUGCUCGGGCAGGAACGCUGCCACCGGGGACAACCGCGUGCUGCCGGAGCCGUGCUGA